rnacentral:rRNA from 1 species
ACUGCGAGUGAGGGGGAUUAGCCCAGCACCGAAGCCUGCGGCCGUUUGGCUGUUAGGCAAUGUGGUGUUUAGGUUGACUUUUGGCAUUACUGCUCCAUCCUAAGUCCAGCACUGAGUAUGGCAACUGGAAUGGCCCAUGGAGGGUGAAAGGCCCGUGGGGAUGGAGAUCAAGUCGGACAGUUUUGCCCUUAGUCUACCUUGGAGUCGGGUUGUUUGUGAAUGCAGCCCAAAGUGGGUGGUAAACUCCAUCCAAGGCUAAAUACAAGCACGAGUCCGAUAGCGAACAAGUACCGUGAGGGAAAGUUGAAAAGUACUUUGAAGAGAGAGUAAACAGUGCGUGAAACCGCCUCAGAGGUAAACGGGUGGAGUUGAACUGUAAGCUCCGGGAAUUCAGCUGGUGAGUGUGUCAUGGGCUUGGUCAUUUUCGGCCGGCCUCUAGAGUCCGCUUAGCUGCGGGUCCUUGUUCUUUCGGGAUCAGGGAUGUGCGUUGCGCUUGUCAAGUGCUGUGCGCUCUGGAGGUUGCCGGGCUGGCUCGCCGGUGCACUUUCUCGGAGUGGUCACCACGACCGGCGUUGUUGUCUUGCUGCUGUAGUCAAACUGGCUGGGUUUGGUCCUUGUGGCUGAACUUGGUUGGGAUGGCAGGUAGCUCAUUGGUUGGCUCGUCCAGUCUUUGGGUGUAAUCAGCUGGCUGCAGCAGUAUUGUGCAAUGCGUCGGAGACUGCGGCUUCAGGUAUUUGCUCUUGUGCCGUUGGUUGACAGUGUUGAGUUUGACUGGCGUGUUACCUGCUUCGGUGGGUCCGUCGGUAGCUUAGUGCUGUACGGUCAGCGGUCGCUUGGGUGAUAUCGUUCAUGGGCCCAUAGUCUGUGGUGUAGCAGCAAACGAUCCACCUGACCCGUCUUGAAACACGGACCAAGGAGUUUAACAUGUGCGCGAGUCAUUGGGCGUUACGAAACCCAAAGGCGCAGUGAAAGUGAAGGUUCGGCUUGUCCGAGCUGAGGUGAGAUCCUGUAGCUUCUCGUGCGAGGUACCACCAAGCAUUGAGCUAUAGGCGCAUCACCAGCCCGUCUCAUGGUGUAGUCAUGUAGCCUUGUGUUGCGUGCAUCACCGGGGCGGAGCCUGAGCGCACACGUUGAGACCCGAAAGAUGGUGAACUAUGCUUGCGCAGGUUGAAGCCAGAGGAAACUCUGGUGGAGGACCGCAGGCGAUUCUGACGUGCAAAUCGAUCGUCUAACGUGAGUA